GACGUAGGGCGCGAGCGUUGUCCGGAUUUAUUGGGCGUAAAGAGCUCGUAGGCGGCUUGUCGCGUCGUCCGUGAAAACUCACAGCUCAACUGUGAGCUUGCGGUCGAUACGGGCAGGCUAGAGUUCGGUAGGGGAGACUGGAAUUCCUAGUGUAGCGGUGAAAUGCGCAGAUAUCAGGAGGAACACCGGUGGCGAAGGCGGGUCUCUGGGCCACUACUGACGCUGAGGAGCGAAAGCGUGGGGAGCAAACAGG
rnacentral:rRNA from 1 species